GAGAUGGAGGUGCUGUAUAUAUAUCUGAGUCUGAACAGACCACACCACAGUCCAAGACUGACACCAAGGGAGACAGGCUGAGGGAGAGGAGGGAUAAGGAAUACUGGACAGAGAGACAGAAGACAUCAGGAGCUGAAGACUUUGUCCAAGAAGAGAGACAGAGGAUAGAGGGGGAGAAAGAGGAGGAUGUGUGAGAGUUUCACAACAAAUAAACAGAGGGAUCUUUGAGGGAGAAUGAUGACAGACCCAGUGAGGAUGAUGAGGAUCUAGUCUUCAUCCUGAGUGUCACUCUGCCCUGUUGAUCUGUCUACAACAGUGGGGAGUGCUACUUCGAUACCAAAGGAAGCUGUGAGUACAUGGGCCAAGUAUAUGGAAUAGGUGAGAGUUGGAUGACCAAGGACUGUUACCAGUGUGUCUGUAUGGAUCCAUUUGGAGUGGGCUGCUGGGAUCAUGGAUCUCAACCCGUGGACUACACUGACUGGUGUGAUGUGAUCCGCAAGCCAGACUCCUGCAACAUCAUCACUGUGAUGAAAGCCAAUCACAAGCUGCCUUGUCUGUGGGGACGGGGUUGUCUGAGGCCAGGAGCGCGACAGCCAUGGAAAUCUGACAGCGCCCCUUUAUUUGGUUCGGUCCAUAAUUUGCCACUCAUAAAUGGGAAGAUGAGAAAUGAUUAAAACACAGAUUGACUGAUAGUGUUUCUCACUGCUUCUUAUGAACAAAUGCAGACGGACUGUUAUUAACACAGGCAGUGCUUGACUUGGACUGAAAUAGUUUCUGGUAAUCAUUUUGGGUGCCGGUACUGUUUAUAUUUAGGUGCAGAAGCUCCACAAUACUUUUGAGAUAAUAUUCUAUAAGAGGAACAGGAGCCCAAGCAGUAGAACAUUUGAGAUGUUGGUACUCAGCUGUGUAGUGGAAAAUCACCAACUGUCUGAGCAAGGCGUAGCUUAAGAUUUGAACUUGUUUGUGUGUGUUAUAAAGACUGGGUUUGCAUUUUUGAUUUUAGAGUGCUCUCGUGAAUAAACAUUUUGACUA